AAUCGGACCCUUUCCGGUGAGGGAACCUCUCUCCAGACAUGAUCAAGAGAAACUGGCGAGGGACUGACAUGAUCUAGCUUACCUUGGGUCACCGAACGGAUUUGGCAUGUGACAUAAUUAUCCCAGCGAUCACUAAAACUGUAAAUUUGGAUGCAAUUAAGAGAGAAAACUCCACACAUUUAUGGAAAUUUAAGCAUCUGGAUGUUGAAUUCUCAGCUCCUUCUCCAGGACCAUGUCUGCCUGGAUGCUGCCAUGCCAUGCUUCCUGCCAUGAGAAUAAUAGACUCAACCUCUGAAACUAUUUGCAGCUUGCUGGCUUGCUGAGUGGAAAAUGAUUCUUUCCCAGUUCUCCUUGGUUUCUUCCUUUCAUGAAUUGAUUAACACUGAGAGAUUAUGUUUUAAUUAUGUCGACUAGAGGUUUUAAAUGAUUCUAGGUUUCUGUGUCCAUUUGUUUUCCUAGGUUUGGGGAAUUUGCUACUGCAAUAUCGUUGUAUAGAUAUUCUUUGCUUUAGUGAGAAACUCAGCUCCUUCUACUCUGUGGUUCUUAGCUUUAGUCUAUUGUACACAUCACAGAGUUAAUGAAAGCUGUGGUCAUACUUGAUUUUUUCUUCAUUACUAUUGAAAUAAAGCAUAUCCUUGACCUUGUCUCCAAUCUCUAUUUUCAAGUCUGUUGGGGAUACAUUCCACUAUUGUUUGAUUGAAAUAUCCAUUUCCAACAUUUCUAUUACUUUGCUUCUUUUUUUUUUGUCCCCACCAAAAAUAAAUAUUUAUAGAAUUGUAAAUCAAAAUGAAACAUUUUUCUGUAUGUAUAAAAACAAAAGGAAACAAACAAAUAAAAAAAUCUGCAUAUUGA
rnacentral:lncRNA from 1 species